UCUUGGACAAUCUGUGAACACCGGACACGAUCGUACUUUUUGUGUGCGCUCCGAAUUUUAUCAUUCGUUGUUUCAUAGUGAUAUGGUGUGCAAUGUAUAACUGUUGAAUAGGACUCAGUAAUUCUCCAAGACAGUGUGGAAUAACACAUCGGGGGCUACCGGAACUGGAGUAGCUGGUUUUCCACAUAACAGAAAGUGCAGCGGCUGUGUUUUCGCAUAAUCGGACGAGUUGCUUGGUUCUGAUGUAGCUCCAAAUGCAGUAGCUGUGAUCUCAGAUGCUGGAGACGUGUUUUCUACUGCAUCCAAUGUAUAUGUAUUCAAGAUGGGUACCAGGGGUCUGUGGUCAGUCACCAAUGUGAAAUGGGGUAAUCCAAGUAA